rnacentral:rRNA from 1 species
AUUGCUAGUAAUGGCAGGUCAGCAUACUGCCGUGAAUACGUUCCCGGGCCUUGUACACACCGCCCGUCACACCAUGAGAGUUGGGGAUACCCGAAGCCUGUGAGCCAACUUUUUAAGAGGCAGCAGUCGAAGGUAGAAUCAAUGAUUGGGGUGAAGUCGUAACAAGGUAAC